GCGAAAGCGAGUCUGAAUAGGGCGCCAAGUUCGUUGCAUUAGACCCGAAACCGAGUGAUCUAUCCAUGAGCAGGUUGAAGGUUGGGUAACACUAACUGGAGGACCGAACCCACUGUCGUUGAAAAGCCAGGGGAUGACUUGUGGAUAGGGGUGAAAGGCUAAUCAAACUCGGUGAUAGCUGGUUCUCCCCGAAAGCUAUUUAGGUA
rnacentral:rRNA from 1 species